AUACGGAGGGUGCAAGCGUUGUUCGGAAUUACUGGGCGUAAAGCGCGCGUAGGUGGUCUGUUAUGUCAGAUGUGAAAGUCCACGGCUCAACCGUGGAAGUGCAUUUGAAACUGGCAGACUUGAGUACUGGAGGGGGUAGUGGAAUUCCCGGUGUAGAGGUGAAAUUCGUAGAUAUCGGGAGGAAUACCGGUGGCGAAGGCGACUACCUGGCCAGAUACUGACACUGAGGUGCGAAAGCGUGGGGAGCGAACAGGAUUAGAAACCCUUGUAGUCC
rnacentral:rRNA from 1 species